rnacentral:rRNA from 1 species
AAUUACAUCAAAACUCCAGCAGAGUUAUCAAGCGCCUUCUUGGCGAUCUUGAAUUUGCCAGCCAACUCCUUCCCUGCGUCUUUGGCGAUCACAUGCUGUCGGACGAACAUCACGAUUCCAUCUCUCAAGAGCUCGAGCUCCGGGUUCCCAGCGAUACGGGUAAAGACGUUCCACAUAAGCGAGUCUUCUUUCUGCAUCAAGGUCUCAAACAUCAUCCUGAAAUGCAUGGUCUUUUUGGGGGUCAUCUCCACUGGGUUCGCCAGGUUGACAACCUUCAGUGUUGCUAGCGACAAGGAGAAGUUUGCGAGCAUCUCUGCAACUAGUUUUGCAAGGUUCAUGGACCGACUCAACUCCAUCUCAUCUAGCUCCUUAAAACGGUCCCAGAUGCAGUACUGCAAACUGAACUUAUGAUUCUUAUCAUGGCUGCAUAGCUUGGAGGCAAGGACUGUGUAA